CAGUCUCCUCACAGUGUCUAUAAUAGCCCCCAUCAGUCUCUGUCACAGUCUCUAUCACCCUCUCCCUGACUCUGACUCUGCUCUAGACCCUGCAGGGUAGUCUGUGGGGCACCGCUUUCAUUACACAGCGGAACUGUCUCUCCCUGGAAGGCGUCCAGCAGAAGGCUCAUGUAAUAGCAGAGCUGAGCACACGGCUGGGCUCCCAGGGCACAACUUGAAGGUCACAUCCAAAGUCCUGGUUUGUCUUGAAUUGGUUCCAGUUGCUUCCGUUUGCCUCCAGAAUGAACCCACCGUGGCUGCUCACUGCUCCCCAACACCAGGGCUGAGGCCUCCCAGACCCAGCCCAGUGCACUGGGUCCCUGGUGCCUGGUACACCCACCACUCUGCCUUCACUCUUCCAAACCACACAUGCCUUCUUCAGAGACCAAUUCAAACAUGACCGUCUGCCCUGUUCCCCUCCUCUAUGCCCUUCCCCCUCCUUCCUCUGCUCUCCAGCCACUUGUCCACAUCACAUGACCCUCGUCUCUGGCUUCCAGAUGGGAAUUUCUGUAUCUGUCUUAUUCCUUCCACAGCUGAGGUGCCUAAGCUCAGGGACUGGACCUUCUAGCAUCAUAUAGGAGGUUCUCUACAUUGGGCUAGAUAAAUAAACUGGUGGGUGACCGAACAAA